GUCUGAUACUGGAUGGCUGAAUCGGGAGAGGGAUGCAGAUUCCAGGUGUAGCGGUGAAAUGCGUAGAUAUCUGGAGGAAUACCGGUGGCGAAGGCGGCAUCCUGGACCGACAUUGACGCUGAUGAGCGAAAGCUAGGGGAGCAAACGGGAUUAGAUACCCCGGUAGUCCUAGCCCUAAACGAUGAAUGCUUGGUGUGGCGGGUAUCGAUCCCUGCCGUGCCGAAGCUAACGCAUUAAGCAUUCCGCCUGGGGAGUACGGUCGCAAGGCUGAAGCUCAAAGGAAUUGACGGGGGCCCGCACAAGCGGUGGAGCAUGUGGUUCAAUUCGACGCAACGCGAAGAACCUUACCCAGGCUUGAACAGCGACUGACAUCCGGCGAAAGCCGGCUCCCGCAAGGGCAGUCGUAGAGGUGCUGCAUGGCUGUCGUCAGCUCGUGUCGUGAGAUGUUGGGUUAAGUCCCGCAACGAGCGCAACCCUUGUCCUCUGUUGCCAUCAGGUUAUGCUGGGCACUCUGAGGAGACUGCCGGUGAUAAACCGGAGGAAGGUGGGGAUGACGUCAAGUCAGCAUGGCCUUUAUGUCUGGGGCUACACACGUGCUACAAUGGCAGAUACAAACCGUCGCGAUGCCGCAAGGUGGAGCUAAUCGGAGAAAGUCUGUCUCAGUUCGGAUUGCAGGCUGCAACUCGCCUGCAUGAAGUUGGAAUCGCUAGUAAUCGCGGAUCAGCACGCCGCGGUGAAUACGUUCCCGGGCCUUGUACACACCGCCCGUCACAUCACGAAAGCUGGCUGUACUAGAAGUCGCCGCGCUAACCCGCAAGGGAGGCAAGCGCCUAAGGUAUGGUUAGUGAUUGGGGUGAAGUCGUAACAAGGUAACCAAGGG
rnacentral:rRNA from 1 species